AGGACACGGCCGAUCGGCACAGAUGUUGCGCAUCUGGCAGUCGUCGUUCUUCAUACCAAACUUCGACGAAGACAAGGCUCCCGCGCGGCCGCUAAUGCCGGCAGGCUGCUUCUCUCUCGGUGUUCUUAGAUGAAAAGGAGCGCAGCACUGUGGCAACGAUGAGCUUUGCCGCCAUGAAGGUCUCGCCGGUCGCAAAAGAGAGCUGCGUUUACAAACGCCGCGCUCUGACACCGAACAUUCAGAAACAGGCAUCAUGCCUCAGCACUACGCGAAUGGGUGGCAGCCGCGCGCAGAAAUCCGCGCCGAGAUCGGUAGGCGGUGGCUCUUGGGUGUUCAAGGAAAAGCGAGAAAAAGAGCAGUGAUCGUACGAGCAAGGAUGCGUCGGUUGGAGAGAGCGAACAGGAUGCCCUUUUGUGGGAAUGGCCAAGAUCAAAGGGAGACUGCCUCGGAUGAUGCUAUUGUGAACUAAAAUCAUCAAUGGGAUGAGUGAACUGUCCGUUGAUGCAGCCAGAAGUAGAGGAAGGAACUGUGCAAUUCAACACACUCCAGGAUUGCGCCGUCGAAACCAGAGAAUUAGACUAUUAGACGGGGUUGAAGCUCUCUUGCUUUUCGUAGUACUCGAGGGAUGUUGUACAAGGUGAGUUGCGAACACAUGGUGACGCCGGAAACGCCAUCGCCAUUUUCCUGUCAACAGCACUUCAGCCUUACCCUCUUGCUAAACCGCGUAUGGUUUACAAGUGGUAUCCGCAUCGAAGGAUAACUCUGAUUUGGUACUGUCUUCUUUUGCGGGACUGUUGCUUGAACUUUUUUCUGGUGUUCUUCCACAGAAGAGAACCAUCUCAGAGGCGCGGGUGUUGCUCUGAUCAUAAUGGGGUGAAAGGCAGGCAGAAUUUGAAAUUAGCGUCUAGGAUUUCAGCAAACGGUGUUUGCGGCAGUCAGGGGCACAGUGGAGGCUCUACGUUACAAUAAACAGACAACUGUGAUACUUCUCCUUUGGCUGAGAAAUCACAGCAGCGGAG
rnacentral:lncRNA from 1 species